GUUUAUUGAGAAUUUGUUUAAUUUGUUCUUCUAAAAUACUCAUAAAUUGAGUUUUUGGGUUAGGAGUUGAGUUUGAUGCAAUGGGUACUGGAAGGUUGUUACUUGAUUCAUUGUGUGCUCCUUGCUUUUUAUAAGAAGAACUGGCUUCUAGGCUAAAGGAAAUAGGACCUAGGUUUAUAUGUCGGAUGACUCUUCUGCUCUCUUCUUUUUUUUUUAAUUUUUCUCACUC
rnacentral:lncRNA from 1 species